ACAAAACACCAUAUCACCCUGAACACAUCUAAACUUUUCUGAUUUUGAAAGCACCGCAGGGCUGGGCCUUGUUAGUACUUGGACUGGAGAGCAGCACAAAGCACAAGAGAUUUCUGAG
rnacentral:rRNA from 1 species